CGCCCGUCACAUCACGAAAGUAGGUUGUACUAGAAGUAGCCGGGCCAACCCGCAAGGGAGGCAUGGCGUAACGGUAUGAUCCAUGAUUGGGGUGAAGUCGUAACAAGGUAGCUGUAGGAGAACCUGUGGCUGGAUCACCUCCUUUCUAA
rnacentral:rRNA from 1 species